AAACAGAGAGAAAGCAUAGGAGGAACAAAAGAAAAGAAAGAAGAAAGGGGAAAAAGAAAGGUUUUUGCGCAUACAUGCUGAGGGAAUCUCGCCAAGCCAAUUUAACUACAUAACUGGUAAGUAUUUGCGCUUGUCGCUCUUUCAAUCGAAUUAAUUUAUGGGUUUAUGGCUCAAAUUCGAAGUUUAUUGAAAAUCAAGCCGUGAAGUUUGAUUCUUGAGUUCUAAGAGCUCCGAGAUAUCUUGGAAAUGGUGGAUUAUGUUGUUGUAGAGCCAUGGAGUUUGAUGAAGGUUGAUUUGAAGUAACAAUUUGGUCCGAACGAAAUUUUGGGGUUUCAAGGGCGGGUUCCACGUUGACUUUAAAUUCAAAUAAUUGCUUCGGAUGGACGAUUUAUUAACAUUAACAUUCAAGUGUGUAUAACCAUUUCGUAGUUGAGAUACCAUCUUACUCGAUUUUAGCAUUAUUCCUUGCUUAUUUGAUAAGGUCGCAAGUUCAACAAUAUGAGUAUAAUUUAUUAUUUGAUCAUGAGCGACGAGGUAAGUGGUAAUAUAUCUUCUUUGAAUUUGUAAAACUCAUGUUCCCAAAAUGUUACGGAUUAUGUAUAUCGUAUGAAUUACAAAAUGACAUUUUUAUUUCAUAAAAGUCGGAUCGAGUAUUUACUACUAUUUAGUUAUUUGUGGAUGUUUAUGCAAAGUAUUAUGAAGUUGUGUGUGUGUGUGUGUUGGUGGGGUGGGGGCGUUUUGAUAUUAUUGUGAAAUGGAUAAAUCUGUUAUUUUGAAGCAUUUGCAACUCAUUCUCUUCUUAAGAGUUUAUUAAAUUCUGGAUUUGGGUUAAAUAAUUUGUGAUUUAUUUUAUAAAGUGUAUAGUGGGUACUCAAUCUGCUUAGAAGAUAAACAUGCUAUUCACUGACCUUGUGGUUGUUCAUCCAUUUUUUUUUCAACUUUUUUAGGUUCUUUGUUAUUAGCUACUGGAGUAAGAGCGCUAUCGAUGGGGUAUCCUUAAGGUUGCAUCCUUCGGAUGAAGGGUGGCCUUAUCAUCCCCAUCCCGUCGGAGUCGCUAUUCUCAACCUUUGCUGCCAGCAAUGCCCGUGGCUUGAUGCGACCAAGUAGGUUCACUCCUCACUUCUUUACUAUGCUUUUAUGCGUUUCCCAUGCUGUUUUGUGCAAUUUUCAAGCUGGAAAUUUCCUCAUCGGAAUAGCUCGAUCAAGGCCGGAGUGGUGGUUGACGGGGAUAUUUAGUGACGGACUGGUAAGGAUUCUGUUGUGAACUUGUGUAGUGAGGUUCAGUCAGAGCCCGUCGUCGUCUGGUGGCUCUGCAGAGAAGGACGCCCUUGGGGAGACGUCUCGCAGGGAAGAAGACGACCUGCAAAAAGGGUGGAG
rnacentral:lncRNA from 1 species